AGCCGCCGCUAGGGAGCCACCCGUCGCGCCUUCUCCUCGGGAGCCGCCGCGCACUUCGCCGCGGGGGAGCCGCCCGCCGCGCCCUUCGCUGCCCGAGCCGCUCAGCUUGGCCUCUGCCGUGGGGACAGCUUGCCCUCAUGCCACCCAACACGGUCUGCAGUCCGUCACAACCAUCCGAUAACUCACGCCAUACACUACAGGGUGGUCACUAACAUGAAUCUGAGGCGCUGCCAUUAUGCACGGUUAUGGAUAAACGACGACGGUUUUGGAUAAUCUGGUCUAAGAGCUUCUGGAGAAAAAAAUCCUAAUCAAGCAGUUUGGCAACAACAAUGCUGAGAUUAAGUUCAGCAAGGGAGCUGAACAACCUUUUAUAGUGUCCACUCUCACAAAUACUCUGGUCUGGUAAACUACAAGGUAGCCAGCUGCUAAUAAAGACAAGCCCAUGAGGAGAACUGGAUAUAAUGUUAACUCAUGUUCAACUGUUUUGCCUUUUCCCAUGAAGCUUUGCAACUGCAAGGCUCCGGUCUCUGUUAAUAUUAAUGUAAUACCAGGAGAUGAAGUGAUGGAGAUGAAUUUAGCAUUUUAACAAAUCAACCGGUCAAGCCACCAAAUCAUGAUCCUGUAAUGUUAUAGUACAACUUCGAAAGGAUGAGAUACUUUUGGUUUCAUGCUUAACGACAACUAUUUGGUACCACUCAAACUGGACACCGAAGCAAUUUUGAACUCAUGUCAAACAUGUUUGCUAUUUCCUUCAAUUUUUUCCUUUUAUUUCUGCACGAACUCCUCAGUAUGUACUUCCUGGUGCUAUAUAGUUUUUCCAUAUGCAAUCUGUGGACCAUCACACUCUGAAGUACAAUCGAUGGCUCUAUAUUUUUUAACUUGUCAGCUACAUUUAAAGCUAAUGUGAUGAUGAAAACUUAGCAUCAGUGCACUUUUGCCUACCCUACUCUACUCAAUUGCUAAGCCAGCAAGGAUAAAAGCUUGCCUUGCCUUUUGCCUUUUUGUGUGUGCUGGUAAGAACCCGAUUGUUAUCCUCUUCUCAUGGCCCUGUUAAGUACAAUCUUUGUUUAAAAAACCACAUAUAUAUUAUGAUUCAUAAUAGCAUUGCAACCUUGUAGGCAAAGGUUUGGAACACGCGGCGAUCAAAAUUUAUACAACAGCUUUCAGUAUAGUAUUCCGAGGAAUACUAAAUGGUCUAACGUGUCCUUAUUUGCCAGCGUUAAGGUCAACCGUAGUGCUAGCGCUUAGUGCUCUGUGUUCAAUUCUGGGGUGGCACGUGGCAGACCAAAGAUUGACAGAGCUUGUCAUUUUAUGAAUUUCAGGCUGUCAUUUUACUAAUUUGAAAAGGUUGGCCGCUGAAAACUUCAUUUAUGCACACAGACCAUCCAUGGAUUAGAUAGGAUGUACGAUGCAGUGGCUACAUCGACCGCCCCGAACUCGCCGAUGACUCCGGCCGGGCAGAUGGUGCCUUUGUGUGACAUUACAUCGAUGUCGUACACACACUCCAAAACUGACAAAAUAAUUUGACCAUGUGUGAAUUUUCAAUCUCUAAAUCUCUGAUUGCUGAUGAUGUGCAGGAUGGUUGAAAGAACAAAAAUGCCUUACCGUUUAGUACUGCUCAAAUUUGGGUACACGGUGUAGACCUGCACACCCUUUGAAUGGCUCAGACAAAACAUAUAGAAGUUUAUGGUCGUAUAUUGAGUUAUAUUACUACAGUAAGAAUAUUAUUCAAAUUGUUCACCAUGGUUUCCUAUAUUUCAAUGCCUGCAGGUUUUCCACCGGGAGAACAAGUUUCUAGAUACCUACAAUAUGAAUACUGAUUUUCUUGUUCUCUGUUUUUAUUGACAUUUUCAAUUAUGCAAUAUGAGUUUUUUUGCGGGUAAUUGUGCAAUAUGAGUUGAUAUGAAUAAAAUAGCGCAAGUAUUAUUGCUGACUAAUUACUAAAGUACCUCCCUUCCAAGAAGCCCUUGAACAAAGAACAAGGGAAUUUUGGAGUCCUGGUUUCACUACCUCCGAGGAUGUGGGAGCUGCCACCACCAUUGCUUCGUUCCAGAACUAAAGGUCCAAGGUAUAUGUUCUCGCUCCCUAAUAGUUGUCGUUUGCAUAUCAUGAGUAUAGUUUCCAGUAAGAUUGGCAGAAAAAGAUUAUUGUUUGCAGUAUUUUUUUAAGGAAGAGCUCCCUCUAGGGACAUUUCUUGUGAGCAACAUCUUACAUUUCAGAUUUUUAUGUCAAUAUAUGUCACUGCUAAAAACAUGAUUGAAUGGUCAAGGAACAUCACAAUAGUUCAUACAAGAAAUUGAGAAGGAUCUAGAAGAAAUGGUUUUCCUAGCUAAGAAGUGUGCUUUCUGGUUUGAUUUCUAAAAAUACGUCGGAAGAUAGCAUCGUUCGUGUAUCCCUUCCGGCGAAUGAGAUCGAUAGUGGGUCUCAGUGUCCAUUUGUGUGGACUCAUACUUGAGUCUUGGGUUGCUUUAAUACCAGUAGCAUUAUCUGAUGAGAUGAGGCAACCAUGUAUUGUCUAGCAUGAUGACUUCAGCCUACCGGUAGCAUUAUGUGAUGAAAUGAGGAGGCGACCAUGUAUUUUCCAGCAUGAUGACUUGAGCCGCAACAUCAGUUCCGAGUAGCCGAAGAAGUAACUGCAUGCACAUCUAUCGUAGAUUAGUGUUGGCGACACUGAAUAUAAAUUAAGACCCAUAGAGAGGGAUUUGUCAUAAUAAGCAUCUAUGUACAUUGCACUUAUAGUCCUCCGUCGAGUCACACGAGAGGGGUAUGCUGUUUUAUACCAUGUAGACUGACGAAUGUAAAUUUAGACUGCUACUUUUGGUUCCAAAGGAUUAACAAGAAAAACUCAUUUGUUUAUACAACCUUGCAGUUAUAAGUUUACUUUGCAAAUUUUAUCACACUAGCAAUGUCGUGUGCAGAGAUAUUUUGUUUCAACAAACUUGAUCAUGUGGACAUUGUUGUGUGCAGGCUAUAAGAAAAACUAUAUCUCUAUUUCCACUAGCAGGUAAAUGCAACCUGAAUGAAGAAGGCAAGCUAUAUUUCCUCAAGCUAUAUGUUAGGUUGCAUAUAUAGAACAAAGGUGAGGUCCUUAUCCUUGCUGGUUUGGCACGGCCGCAUCCCCAUGGCCAAUAAGCUGCUGCGCUACAGAUGGACAGGCAGUGAGAUUUGGUCGGCGUGUGGCUCUUGCCAAGAGACGACAAAUCACAUGUUCUUUGCUUGCAACUUUGCGAGGCAGGUAUGGCCAACAGUGGCCUUUUGGUCGUGAUACCAGGUGUUGUCUCCCCCAGUUCCUAGAACAUCACUCCCAUCUAUGACUGGUGGAUGGAGAUCAGUUUCCAAACGAGGAGAAAAGGCAUUUUCAUGGGGUCACCUCGUACUGCACUUGGCGAAUUUGAAAAGAUUGGAACAGUCAUAUUUUUUUUGCAUGACUACAGGGGGGAGUCAAGAUCAGAGAGUUAGUGAGGAUGAGGGAACAUGCCUUUGUUAGAGUUGUUCGGGAUGCAUGGUGGGGGCUGAGGUUUUGGGCCUGCUUUUUCCUCUCUGUUAGACAAAAAUAUAGCUGUAUGUGUCUGGUUGUAAACCUAUCUUCUUCUACUAACAUAUACAACAUCGCUCCUGUCAAGUUUUUUUAUUUAUUUUAAAAACUACAUUUGCUUGCAAUGGAUAUGAAUGUAUUUUCUUUAAAACGUAAUACUAGAAUACUUGUUUU